rnacentral:lncRNA from 1 species
AAAGUCAAACAAGGUUUGACAAAAAAUUUCAGCAUUUUUGGAAAACAGAAACUAUUUUUAAACAAUUAAAAAUGAAUAAAAUAUAACAUAAUUGAACUAAAAUCUCAAAUAAAUCUCAAAUCAAUUAAGAAAUUGAUGAGAAUAUUUUUCAUAGAUUCACCAUCAUUCAGAGAUGUUAAGAAAAUAUUUUUGCAUUUUUUGAAUAUUGGAAACUAUUUAAAAUAAAUUAAAAAUAACCAGAAAUGAGAAAAUUCACAAAAAAAUAUCAAAUGGAAAAAUAAAA